ensembl:lncRNA
CUGGCACACUGUUCCUUUUUUUUUUCUUUUUUCUUUUUUUUCUUCAUUUUUUUCUUUCUUCUUUUUUCUUUUUUCUUUUUUCUUUUCUCUUUAAUCUUCCAGUGAGAAAUUUGGUCAGAAAGGAAGGUUCCAAGUUCUGCUACAUUAGUUUAGCUAGAGAAAACAACUCUGUGAUGUAAGAAUAUUGCCGUCAGCAGCUGCUCAGCAGACCUCAUGAACCUGACCAACAGACACUGGGACACUUAUCACUCCUAAAGAGGACGACUCUUUGCUGUUGGUUUUCAUAGAGAGUAUUUCUAAUAUGUACUCCAGAAUCAGACACGUAGUACCUUUUCCUUUCCCAGAAGCAGACAACAAAUGGAAGGAAAACAAUGCACG